GUCUACGGCCAUGCCACCCUGAACAAGCCUGAUCCCGUCUGAUCUCGGAAGCUAAGCAGGAUGCGGCCUGGUUAGUACUUGGAUGGGAGACCACCUAGGAAGACCAGGUGCUGUGGGUG
rnacentral:rRNA from 1 species